rnacentral:rRNA from 1 species
AGAGGCUCAAGUUGACAGACAUCGGCGUAAAGAGUGGUUAGGAAGUUUUUGAAACUAAAGCCGAACGCCCUCAGAACUGUUAUACGUACCCGAGGGUAAGAAGCCCCACUACGAAAGUGGCUUUAUAUCUCCGACCCCACGAAAGCUGCGAAACAAACUGGGAUUAGAUACCCCACUA